rnacentral:rRNA from 1 species
UAGUAGUCCACGCUGUAAACGAUGGAUACUAAGUGUUGGGGAAACUCAGUGCUGCAGUUAACGCAAUAAGUAUCCCGCCUGGGGAGUAUGCACGCAAGUGUGAAACUCAAAGGAAUUGACGGGGGCCCGCACAAGCGGUGGAGUAUGUGGUUUAAUUCGACGCAACGCGAAAAACCUUACCAGGCCUUGACAUCCCUUGCGAAGCUUUAGAGAUAGAGUGGAGGAUAUCAAGGAGACAGGUGGUGCAUGGUUGUCGUCAGCUCGUGUCGUGAGAUGUUGGGUUAAGUCCCGCAACGAGCGCAACCCUUGUCUUUAGUUACCAUCAAGUAAAGUUGGGGACUCUAAAGAGACUGCCGGUGAUAAACCGGAGGAAGGUGGGGAUGACGUCAAAUCAUCAUGCCCCUUAUGGCCUGGGCUACACACGUACUACAAUGGCGCAUACAGACGGAAGCGAAGGAGCGAUCUGAAGCAAAACCGAGAAAGUGCGUCACAGUUCGGAUUGAAGUCUGCAACUCGACUUCAUGAAGCCGGAAUCGCUAGUAAUCGCAGAUCAGCAUGCUGCGGUGAAUACGUUCUCGGGCCUUGUACACACCGCCCGUCAAACCAUGAGAGUUGGCAAUACCCGAAGCCGGUGGCCUAACCUAGCAAUAGGAGGGAGCCGUCGAAGGUAGGGCUGAUGAUUGGGGUUAAGUCGUAACAAGGUAUCCCUACGAGAACGUGCGGUUGGAUCACCUC